CGAUGAAUGCCGGCUGUCCGUUCCGACUGGGGGCUGGGUGGCGAAGCGAAAGCGAUAAGCAUUCCACCUGGGGAGUACGCCGGCAACGGUGAAACUCAAAGGAAUUGACGGGGGCCCGCACAAGCGGAGGAACAUGUGGUUUAAUUCGAUGAUACGCGAGGAACCUUACCCGGGCUCAAACGGGAGAUGACAGAGGGAGAGACCCCUCGUUCUACGGACAUCUUCCGAGGUGCUGCAUGGUUGUCGUCAGCUCGUGCCGUGAGGUGUCGGCUUAAGUGCCAUAACGAGCGCAACCCCUGCCGACAGUUGCUAACGGUUAAAGCCGAGGACUCUGUCGGGACUGCCGGCGCAAGCCGCGAGGAAGGCGGGGAUGACGUCAAAUCAGCACGGCCCUUACGUCCGGGGCGACACACGUGUUACAAUGGGUGGGCACAGAGGGAAGCCAGGCGGCGACGCCGAGCGGAAACCCGAAAUCCACUCUCAGUUCGGAUCGGAGUCUGCAACCCCGACUCCGUGAAGCUGGAUUCGCUAGUAAUCGCGCAUCAGCCAUGGCGCGGUGAAUACGUUCCCGGGCCUUGUACACACCGCCCGUCAAGCCAUGGAAGCCGGGAGUGCCUGAAGUACGUGACCGUAAAAGGAGCGUCCUAGGUAAAAACCGGGUGACUGGGGCUAAGUC
rnacentral:rRNA from 1 species